rnacentral:rRNA from 1 species
AUUGAACACUGGCGGCAGGCCUAACACAUGCAAGUCGAGCGGAAACGAAGGGAGCUUGCUCCCAGGCGUCGAGCGGCGGACGGGUGAGUAACACGUGAGAAUCUGCCCAUUAGUGGGGGACAACUCGGGGAAACUCGAGCUAAUACCGCAUAAUCCCUACGGGGGAAAGCAGGGGACCUUUUGGCCUUGCGCUGAUGGAUGAGCUGACGUCGGAUUAGCGUGUUGGUGAGGUAAAGGCUCACCAAGGCGACGAUCCGUAGCUGGUCUGAGAGGAUGAGCAGCCACACUGGGACUGAGACACGGCCCAGACUCCUACGGGAGGCAGCAGUGGGGAAUCUUGGGCAAUGGGGGCAACCCUGAUCCAGCCAUGCCGCGUGUGUGAAGAAGGCCUUCGGGUUGUAAAGCACUUUCAGCAGGGAGGAAGGCUUUGGCCGAAUAGGUUGAAGUACUUGACGUUACCUGCAGAAGAAGCACCGGCUAAUUUCGUGCCAGCCGCCGCGGUAA